rnacentral:lncRNA from 1 species
AAGAAGUCAGGCCACUACAAGUGCCAUAGCUUGAGCAAACUAUGCAGCCUGUAGCUCCACCUGGGAAGGUGUAAAAAAUCUGGGAGGCCACAAACCAUGGAAGCUGUACGCAUGGCGUAGUGGACUAGCGGUUAGAGGAGACCCCUCC